rnacentral:rRNA from 1 species
AUUGAACGCUGGCGGAAUGCUUUACACAUGCAAGUCGAACGGCAGCACGGGGGCAACCCUGGUGGCGAGUGGCGAACGGGUGAGUAAUACAUCGGAACGUGCCCAGUCGUGGGGGAUAACGUAGCGAAAGUUACGCUAAUACCGCAUACGAUCUACGGAUGAAAGCGGGGGACCGUAAGGCCUCGCGCGAUUGGAGCGGCCGAUGUCAGAUUAGGUAGUUGGUGAGGUAAAGGCUCACCAAGCCGACGAUCUGUAGCUGGUCUGAGAGGACGAGAAGCCACACUGGGACUGAGGCACGGCCCAGACUCCUACGGGAGGAAGCAGUGGGGAAUUUUGGACAAUGGGCGAAAGCAUGAUCCAGCCAUUCCGCGUGCAGGACGAAGGCCUUCGGGUUGUAAACUGCUUUUGUACGGAACGAAAAGGCUCUGGUUAAUACCUGGGGCUCAUGACGGUACCGUAAGAAUAAGCACCGGCUAACUACGUGCCAGCCGCCGCCGUAA